GAAAAUGGAAAUAUGGGAGGUUUGAGAUCUUGGGUGUGUUGGUUUAAUGAGAUUUUGAUAACUAGUUAUCGCCAAUGAUACUAAUUCCGAGAAUUUAGUGCAUCAAUAUAGGAUUAUGAUAGAUUGACAAAUAUCGAGGUUAAGUGGUAGUGCUUUUUUCCAAUGGAAGUGCUCACCAAAGGUGGAAAUGAAGAAGACAUGCCUUUUCAGAGCCUUAUGCCUAGAACAAAAGCACAUGCCUAGGUGUAUAGGGUGCAAGGGUUGCAGCGUUGUGAGCCCCAAGUCUGAGGCGCGCCUUUAAUAACUAU
rnacentral:misc_RNA from 1 species